UGCCCACCGUUGUUAUUCUGUGGUCGAUUAUAAGGUUUAGCAACUUGCUUUCCCUUGUUCUGAUAAUUCACCCGACUAGGGCCUCCCGAAUUAAAAUUCCCUCCUUGGCUAGCCCUCUUGUUUUUCAUAUCCUCCACUUCUCUACAUUUCUCUACAAGCGCUUGGAAACGUUGAAUUCCCAAGGGUAAGACGGAAUCUUGAAUCUCAUACUUUAGUCCGUCUUGGAAACGAUGACACAUGAAUGGUUCAUCAAUCUCUUCACGGAAGAACCUGAAAUGCCUCGAUAGCGAUUCAAACUUAGCGGCAUAUUCGCCCACGGUCAUGCUUCCCUAGUGAAGUUUCAGAAAAUCAUCACCCAGUUUAGUCCUGGUACUCAUCGGGAAGUAUUUGUCUAAAAACUUCCUUUUGAAUGAUUCCCAGUUCACCUCCUCGUGUGCUGCUCCCAUCAAUAACCUUGCACUCCUCCACCAGUACUCAGCAUCCCCCAACAGCAUAUAAGUGGCAUAGCUGACCUUCACUCCCGCCUGGCAGUUAAUCAUUUCAAAGAUCUUCUCCACUUCUUG
rnacentral:lncRNA from 1 species